AAAGGAAUUGACGGGGGCCCGCACAAGCGGUGGAGCAUGUGGUUUAAUACGUCACUAACCGUAGAACCUUACCCAGGCUUGACAUCUAGGGAAUCUGGAUGAAAGUCUAGAGUGCCCUCGGGAGCCCUAAGACAGGUGUUGCAUGGCUGUCGUCAGCUCGUGUCGUGAGAUGUUGGGUUAAGUCCCGCAACGAGCGCAACCCUCAUUCGAUGUUGCCAGCGUAAAGUCGGGAACUCUUCGAAAACUGCCCGUGUAAGCGGGAGGAAGGUGGGGAUGACGUCAAGUCAGCAUGGCCCUUACGCCUGGGGCUACACACAUGCUACAAUGGACGCUAACAAAGGGCAGCAAUACCGCGAGGUGGAGCGAAUCUCACAAAUGCGUCCUCAGUUCGGAUUGUAGUCUGCAACUCGACUACAUGAAGUCGGAAUCGCUAGUAACCGCAGGUCAGCUAAACUGCGGUGAAUACGUUCCCGGGCCUUGUACACACCGCCCGU
rnacentral:rRNA from 1 species